rnacentral:misc_RNA from 1 species
AACGAGGCCGACCUGCGGCUGAGUUACCUGCGGAGGGAUCAUUACCGAGUGAGGGCCCUCCGGGUCCAACCUCCCACCCGUGUUUAACGAACCUUGUUGCUUCGGCGGGCCCGCCUCACGGCCGCCGGGGGGCACCCCGCCCCCGGGCCCGCGCCCGCCGAAGACACCUGUGAACGCUGUCUGAAGUUGCAGUCUGAGACACUAGCUCAAUCAGUUAAAACUUUCAGCAAUGGAUCUCAG